GACGAACGCUGGCGGCGUGCUUAACACAUGCAAGUCGAACGGAAAGGCCCUGCUUUUGUGGGGUGCUCGAGUGGCGAACGGGUGAGUAACACGUGAGUAACCUGCCCUUGACUUUGGGAUAACUUCAGGAAACUGGGGCUAAUACCGGAUAGGAGCUCCUGCUGCAUGGUGGGGGUUGGAAAGUUUCGGCGGUUGGGGAUGGACUCGCGGCUUAUCAGCUUGUUGGUGGGGUAGUGGCUUACCAAGGCUUUGACGGGUAGCCGGCCUGAGAGGGUGACCGGCCACAUUGGGACUGAGAGACGGCGCAGACUCCUACGGGAGGCAGCAGGGGGGAGUAUUGCACAGUGGGCGGAAGCCUGAUGCAGCAACGCCGCGUGCGGGAUGACGGCCUUCGGGUUGUAAACCGCUUUCGCCUGUGACGAAGCGUGAGUGACGGUAAUGGGUAAAGAAGCACCGGCUAACUACGUG
rnacentral:rRNA from 1 species